AGUGAACGCUGGCGGUAGGCCUAACACAUGCAAGUCGAACGGCAGCACAGGAGAGCUUGCUCUCUGGGUGGCGAGUGGCGGACGGGUGAGGAAUACAUCGGAAUCUACUCUGUCGUGGGGGAUAACGUAGGGAAACUUACGCUAAUACCGCAUACGACCUACGGGUGAAAGCAGGGGACCUUCGGGCCUUGCGCGAUUGAAUGAGCCGAUGUCGGAUUAGCUAGUUGGCGGGGUAAAGGCCCACCAAGGCGACGAUCCGUAGCUGGUCUGAGAGGAUGAUCAGCCACACUGGAACUGAGACACGGUCCAGACUCCUACGGGAGGCAGCAGCGGGGAAUCUUGGACAAUGGGGGAAACCCUGAUCCAGCGAUGCCGCGUGUGUGAAGAAGGCCUUCGGGUUGUAAAGCACUUUAAGUGGGGAAGAAAGGUAUCAAGUGAAUAACUUGGUGCUAUGACGGUACCCGCAGAAUAAGCACCGGCUAACUCUGUGCCAGCCGCCGCAGUAA
rnacentral:rRNA from 1 species